rnacentral:misc_RNA from 1 species
GAAAAAAGAGGAGUCAAGCAUGGGGGAAAAUUUUCAGGAUUGAAGUGGAGGAAGGAUCUUAUGGUAUACAUUGUCCCAUUAGUGUUGAUUUUUCACCAUAGUUGCAAAGUAUAAAGUGGUUUGAGGUGAUAUACGCCUGCAGCAUGUGUAUGCAUAUGUGCACACAGAAAGAUCAUAGUGUCUUCUUGAUAAUCUUGUUAGACAGGAUUAUGCUUUUAUUUAUUGGUAAAAGGAUAAGGAUGUAACACGUGGGUAAUGAUAUCACAUUCUUGAACAAACUAAAGAUAAAUAUUUAUUGCUCCUCAUUAAUGCUAAUAAGAUUUUAUUGGCAAAUGUAUUUAUAUAGCUG